UAUAAGCUUUAGCGUUAGCUCUGCCGUUGCUUGUUGCAGGAGUUUUCUUGCUGCGUUAGCAACGCGCAUCCGUUUUCUUGCUGCUAACGACGCGCAUCCGUUUUCUUGCUCCAAGAUCAGACUUUCUGCAUGUCUUCGAUCGAGUGAAAGCUAGGGCGAAAGAGGAAUAUCAUAAUUGGUUUCUUUCCCAACCAAAUGCCUUAUGAUUAUCAUUUUCCGCGUAAAUAAAGAUAAAGAAAAAACUUAGAGGAUCGCCUAAAGCUAUUGAUUUGAUAGCGGGAAAAUAGAAAGAAAUUCCUUAAUUUCUUUCUACUUUUAAUAUGAU